rnacentral:rRNA from 1 species
AGCCUGCCCACUGAUUGAAAUUUAAAGGGCCGCGGUAUACUGACCGUGCGAAGGUAGCAUAAUCAUUAGUCUUUUAAUUGAAGGCUUGUAUGAAUGGUUGGACAAAAAGUAAGCUGUCUCAGUUAUAAUAAUUGAAUUUAACUUUUAAGUGAAAAGGCUUAAAUGGAUUAAGGGGACGAUAAGACCCUAUAAAGCUUGACAAUAAGUUAAUUAUAUUAUAAAUUGUUAGUAUAACUUGAUUUUAAUUGACGUUUGUUACGUUGGGGCGACGAGAAUAUAAUGAGUAACUGUUCUUAAAUGUUUAUUGACAAAUAUAAUUGGUAUUUGAUUGAUCCUUUAUUAAAGAUUAAAGAUUAAGUUACUUUAGGGAUAACAGCGUAAUCUUCUUUGAGAGUUCAUAUCGACAAGAAGGUUUUCGACCUCGAUGUUGAAUUAAGGUAUCCUUAUGAUGCAGCAGUUAUAAAGG